GAUGAACGCUGGCGGCGUGCCUAAUACAUGCAAGUCGAACGCACAGCGAAAGGUGCUUGCACCUUUCAAGUGAGUGGCGAACGGGUGAGUAACACGUGGACAACCUGCCUCAAGGCUGGGGAUAACAUUUGGAAACAGAUGCUAAUACCGAAUAAAACUUAGUGUCGCAUGACACAAAGUUAAAAGGCGCUUCGGCGUCACCUAGAGACGGAUCCGCGGUGCAUUAGUUAGUUGGUGGGGUAAAGGCCUACCAAGACAAUGAUGCAUAGCCGAGUUGAGAGACUGAUCGGCCACAUUGGGACUGAGACACGGCCCAAACUCCUACGGGAGGCUGCAGUAGGGAAUCUUCCACAAUGGGCGAAAGCCUGAUGGAGCAACGCCGCGUGUGUGAUGAAGGCUUUCGGGUCGUAAGCACUGUUGUAUGGAAGAACAGCUAGAAUAGGAAAUGAUUUU
rnacentral:rRNA from 1 species